AGUGAACGCUGGCGGCAGGCCUAACACAUGCAAGUCGAGCGGCAGCGCGGGGGCAACCCUGGCGGCGAGCGGCGGACGGGUGAGGAAUUCGUCGGAAUCUGCCUUUUUGUGGGGGAUAACGUAGGGAAACUUACGCUAAUACCGCAUACGUCCUACGGGAGAAAGUGGGGGACCGCAAGGCCUCACGCAGAAGGAUGAGCCGACGACCGAUUAGCUAGUUGGUGGGGUAAAGGCCCACCAAGGCGACGAUCGGUAGCUGGUCUGAGAGGAUGAUCAGCCGCACUGGGACUGAGACACGGCCCAGACUCCUACGGGAGGCAGCAGUGGGGAAUAUUGGACAAUGGGCGCAAGCCUGAUCCAGCCAUGCCGCGUGUGUGAAGAAGGCCUUCGGGUUGUAAAGCACUUUUGUCCGGAAAGAAAUCCCUGGAGCUAAUACCUUCGGGGGAUGACGGUACCGGAAGAAUAAGCACCGGCUAACUUCGUG
rnacentral:rRNA from 1 species